AAGCCCAUUUGGUGGGGUGUGAGCCGUGAGGGGUUCUCGUCUGUAGUGGACGAGGGCCGGGUGCACAACAACAGGCAAUCGCCAGACACACUAUUGGGCCCUGAGACAACACUCGGCCGACUUCGGUUGAAGUGGUGUCCCUCCAUCUUGGUGGUGGGGUGUGGUGUUUGAGUAUUGAAUAGUGGUUGCGAGCAUCA
rnacentral:misc_RNA from 1 species